AGAACGGAGAGUUCUCACACCAGGGCUCAGCCCCUCCUGAGUGUGUGUUUCCCUGAUUCUGUCAAAACUUCACUCCAGGGAGGAAAUGGUUGGGAUCUUCAUCUAAUUUCCAUGGUAUUGAGCGAAUGGGCCAGCUGUGGGCAAGGAGGAAAGGCCCCCUCAUCCCCGGUCGGGCUGCACCCAAGCCUGCAAGGGGGAGCGGAACCCUCACUUUCACCCUGAAGGCAGCCGCCGCGGCUCCGCGUCCCGGACAGAGAAAGACGCGGGAGGUGCUGCCACCUGGAGUCCACACAAGGUACAGCAUGGAGAUGGCACUGAGUUCCGCUGGGACACAGCACACCUUGGGAAUCUUAGAGUUAACUGAGCUGACCAGCGUCU